UGUAAUAAUUUAAUAAUGAAAUUUCAGAGAUCUAUACAUCAUGCAUCAGUAGUUACUAGAAUCACUAGAUAGAAUCUAAAUGCAUAUGGAUGUGAAAUCACACAAAAGAAAAAAAUAUGUAUAUGAACAAAUUUGUAAACUUGUUUGAAAUUCUUCUGUCCCACAUAAAUUAUGUCUAUAAGUUCGAAAGCAAAGUUAUAAUAUCACGAAUUGACAUAUAUGAAAAAGAAGGACUCUCUCACAAGUUAGGGAAACUUUCAUUCGUCGACGUUACCUUUCUUCCCGCCCUAAAGAGCAUGCGUACUUGUGAAGAUGAUAUUCGUUCCGCCCAUAUCAGGUCGUCAUGGGUGACCAGCGACAAUUGCUUUUCUAAUGGUCAAGCUUCGAAAGUGACCAAUCGCCAAGCCAUCCAUUUUUGCAAUUAAUGAUCAUUCAAGAAUGAAUAUCACGACCUUAAUCUACAAGAAAUAGGAUUGAAGAUAAUAAGUUAACGAUUAAACUGAUUUUAUA